ensembl:snRNA U4 U4 spliceosomal RNA
AGCUUUGCACCGUGGCAGUUAUCGUAGUCAAUGAGGUUUAUCCGAGGCGCGAUUAUUGCUAAUUGAAAACUUUUCUCAAAUUCUGCUCAGCAAGACCCUGGGAUAUUCUUUGGUGGUGUCUCAGAGAUUUCCUGACUCCCACUGAGA